UCCCUGGUGGCUCAACCGGUGAGAAUCUGCCUGUAAUGCAGGAGACCUGGGUUCAGUCCCUGGUUUGGGAA
rnacentral:tRNA from 1 species